GACGAACGCUGGCGGCGUGCUUAACACAUGCAAGUCGAGCGGAAAGGCCACUUCGGUGGUACUCGAGCGGCGAACGGGUGAGUAACACGUGAGUAAUCUGCCCCUGGCUUUGGGAUAGCCACCGGAAACGGUGAUUAAUACCGGAUACGACCACUUCUCGCAUGGGAUGGUGGUGGAAAGUUUUUUCGGCCAGGGAUGUGCUCGCGGCCUAUCAGCUUGAUGGUGAGGUAAUGGCUCACCAUGGCUUCGACGGGUAGCCGGCCUGAGAGGGUGACCGGUCACACUGGGACUGAGACACGGCCCAGACUCCUACGGGAGGCAGCAGUGGGGAAUAUUGGACAAUGGGCGGAAGCCUGAUCCAGCAACGCCGCGUGAGGGAUGACGGCCUUCGGGUUGUAAACCUCUUUCAGCAGGGACGAAGCGCAAGUAACGGUACCUACAGAAGAAGCACCGGCCAACUACGUGCAGCAGCCGCGGUAA
rnacentral:rRNA from 1 species